GAGAUCUAAAAAAGAUGUGUUCGAAAAUAAGUUUGUCCAGCAUUUUUAAUAUGUAUAUUUUGGUGGAGGGGUAUUUUUUCCUAUCAUAGAAAGGAAUGAAGCAAAAAAUCAUUUUUAAAACGAGUAAGCAUCAAAUAAUAAUAGACCUUUAGUUGAGUGCAUCUAUUUUUAACUUAAUGAUACUCGCAUGAGUUUAAGAACAUCUAAUGCCAUGUUUUUCUUAAAUCAUGUAUACUUAUUUUCUUAACUACUUUGAGGAUCUUUGCUGGGAAACCUCCUAGAGAUGGAGAGAGGGGAAAUCCUGGGACAUCAAUGUGUGAAAAAAAUGAUGGAAAAUUUACUCAUUCAACAAAUGUUGACUACCUACUGUUCGAGCACUUGAAUACAGUAACAAAAUGAAGUAGUUUUCAUGUUAGCAGAGUGGAAUGGAAAUGAACUCAGCAAUCCUCUGAGACUUAACCAACUGUGAAAUCUCUGGGAAUGUCUGACAGUGGGGAACAAGGCUCUGCGUAAGGGAGAUACGGAAUUCAGUACUCCUCAAGGCUCUCUCAAGACCAAGACGAAAUAAUCUGC